GCAGAAUACACCAAGACGCCCCCCUCGCAUGGAUGUGUCAAUGAUCACCCCAGAAUCCGCCACAAGCUGGGGUCCCUCAUAGAGCUUCACCCUGUCCAGGAUUCCAGGAUAGGAGUAUCCAUUGGUGCUAGGGUGCCAGUGGGCACUGUGCCACCAUGCCUGGGGCCUUGCUUUUCCCCAGCCCCCCUUGAGCUCACCAGGCCUGAGAGAGAAGGGAGGGAGGGAAAGGGAGGCAGGAAGGAGAGGGAAGGGGGGUGCUUUUCUCAGGCCUGGGGCCCCUAGCUCUUUGUCCAGCUCCUUUUGCAUCUCAAAGCACCAGCCGCAUUCCAAGCGAGGAUUGGGUUGCCAUGACAAUAAGCACAAUGGGCUGGGGGGUGAAGUCACCCGCUUCCCAGGCUCUAGUCCACCCCCUUUUAUCCCCUGUCCUGGCACCCCACAGCCCCAGGCACCUUAAAGGGGAACCAACCCAGGUUCCUGGACUCUGGGCUCUUGGCCAUGGAAAGUCCAGCCUCUAAGCAGACCCAUUUCCCCUCCCUUCCUGUUCAUCUCCACCAACUAGGGCUACUUGUUGGAGAGAAAUGCAAAGUUGUGGACAAAGUGUUGAACCGAGGCCUGUGAAGUCAGGGCCUUGAUUUUCUCUUCUGUAAAUGAUGAUGCCUUCCAGGUCAGAUGAUCCCUAUCCACGUUGAUAAGACAGGUUCCAGGUCAUACCAACUAAGGGACCAGAUGUGAUGUGCCCCUUCACAGAUUGGCCUGGGUUUGGAGGCUUCUGGAGAACUGUAAAGGGCAUCUAACCCAAUGCCCUCAUUUUACAGACGGGAAAAUGGGUCAUGGAGGAGUGACUUCACCAACAUCACUCAUAGGUGCUUGUGUCCGUGGUGAGAAGGGUGAUGGAGAGAAGUGGCUGCAGUUCCCACCCAUGGAGAGGUCACUGGUGAAUCCCAGCUAAAGAGGAAGGACAGGCCCGGCCUGAGUCCCACAGGGCUUGCUGCCUCCACCUGGGCAAAGGCAACACCAGUCUAACGUGCUCUGGGUCCGCAGGCUUACCAUCUGAGUCCUUCUGAUUGGGAUUGGGUACCAGGCGGCAGUUAUCGGGACCAGGAGGCACAUAAUCUGGGAUGCCAUCAUUGUCAUCAUCCCCAUCACACUCAUCUCCAAGUCCAUCGUUAUCAGAGUCCAGCUGGGAGCUAUUUGGCAGCUGUGGGCAGUUGUCCUUGGUGUCCUGAUGCCCAUCCCCAUCGCUAAUCAGAAGAACAGAUCACACCCUUGUGAUGGACAAACUGCUCAGUACAGUCCCACCCACCCAGCCUCCUUGUCCUGGGCACGAGGUUUUUGCCUCCCUGAUUUGGAGUAUUUGGCCCUUACUAGAGAGCUGCCAGAUGAGACCCUCCCUUUUCCUUCCACGCCUGAAGCCUA
rnacentral:lncRNA from 1 species